GUUGCCGAUGGAGGUGGCAACUCUGCCGAUUGUGGUAGUGGUGGUAUGUCUAAGGUCGGCGAUCCCGUUUGAGGAGCAGGCCAUUUUUUUUUUUUUUUUUUAUUUUCUUGAAAGCGAAAAAUCUCACUCGGUCCUCUUGCAUUUUUGAAAGAAAAAUUCGAACGCGCUCGUUCGCCUCCGCAUUUCAAUUUUCGAUAACGGAAUUUUUGUCCCACGAAAAAUUGAAUUAAUUUUGAGUCGUUAUUUAUUUUUUUUUUUUGUACUGGGGAUAAGGAAAAACGAUGCCUGUAAUCGUCUGUUCGAAAUUUGUUGUUACGAUCGAUAUACAGAUAUAUUUAUCAAGCCAAUAUAAUACAAUACGGAAAAGUAACUUGGGGUAUAAUCGUGGGAGAAAUAUUUAUAACGGUAAUCUUUUAACUGGUGAUUAAGUUUGUCAGAAAUAGAUCCGUCCGAUGGUUAAAAAAUUUUUACUAAUUACUUUGUCUACUUCUAGUCACGGUUUUUUCUUAUCAGAUUUCAAAAUAUCGCUCUUUUGGCCACAAAUACAAUGUUUUCUUUUAAGAAUAUUGGCGAUUUUUGGCGAAACAGAUAUAAUAAAACUAUGCAUUACGAACGAAAUACCGACACCGGUAGCCAAUGCGUCGAUUGCAUUAGCAGUUUUAAAAUUUCAGCCUGAGAAUAAACAUUUCCGAAUAUCUGACAACUCCGUGUUAUACGUGACAAACGUGACACAAUUGCUAAAUACCGUUGAUAAACUGAAUCGAUAAUAGAAUAGAAACUACGAACGAUAUUCGCAGGCUUCGUUUAUUUUCGUUUCCGUAAGGUCCGUAAUAAUAUUUCAAACGAAUACCAAGGAUUGCCUCAUAUUCCGAUUUGUUUAUGGUACGUUAACAUACUUUUCACAACUCGACAUUGCUCGAUAUGUGAUCGAUGAGAAGCGCCAAUCAACUAGCAGCUCAUCCCAUAUUAUAGGUAUGUAUACAUAUUGAAGUAUAUCUAUAGUUAGGUACAAGACAUUUAUCGCUCUGCAGGCAUUCAAAAACACGACGAUGUUUUAAAAGAUACGUUACUUACUACGUGGUGAUCAUAUAAAUAUUACAAUAUCUAUUACACAUAUAUUCAUACAUAUAACAUGAGUGAGGGAUAUUCAAGUAUGCAUGUAUUAAUGGUAAUAAUAGUAUGAUGAUAAAGCUUGGUUGCUUAAUGGUGCAAUAGUUUUUCUUUUUCAUAAAAUAUGACAUACGAAGGGAAGUGUCGUUAUUAAUAGAGAGAGAGAGAGAGAGAGAGAGAAUAGUGGGUGACAAAGCUGCAUUAUACUUAUAUUCCGUUUUCGUGAUAAAUAAUAGACAUUGAGCUAUUAUGCCGUGUGCAAGUAUUGUAAUAAUUAGGUAGAAUUACGCACGAAAUGUUAAAGUACGUGAUGCUUAUUUACAGAAUUGGAAUCUUUACUCGACAUUGGUCCGUGACCAGCCUCGGGUUUGUUUAUGCUUUAUUAUACUUUAAUUAUAUUUUACUCUUUCUUUCUUUCGAAUUUAUUAAAUUAAACUACACGAAAUCAGCAGUGUAUCGCGCUUCGUUAGCCGGUUUUUACUUGUUUUACCGUCCUCGAUUUAUUUCCAUCGCAUAGUAUUAAUGAACAAUUUGCCACUGUGGUACGAUUCCGGGUCUGAAUUUAUAUACUAUUUAAAUACUUUGUAUUAGGUAUAUUCUUUGCAUUUGAAUAUUGCGCUGGUAUUUAUAAGGUUUUGAGAGCGUUAGCAAUGAAAUGAAAAUAAUGUAACGAUACAUUUAAUUAAAUUCGUUAUAGCUGUGUCUCUAAAUCGCUACCUGCUGCUCGAAUUGGCGCUGCUCGAUUAUUGAGCGGGUAAAUUUAUCACGCAAUCGGCAUUUGAUUGAUAAUAAUCGAUGACCCCUGAACUGUUUUUUAAUCAACAACUUUGGCUCAAAUGCUUCUAUUUGAUAAUAGAUUCUCCAUCUCGCUACGCGAAAUUGACCAAAAUGAGAA